UACGUAGGGGGCAAGCGUUGUCCGGAUUUAUUGGGCGUAAAGAGCGUGUAGGCGGCCGCACAGGUCCGUUGUGAAACUGGAGGCUUAACCUUCAGACGUCGAUGGAAACCGUGCGGCUAGAGUCCGGAAGAGGAGAAUGGAAUUCCUGGUGUAGCGGUGAAAUGACGCAGAUAUCAGGAAGAACACCCGUGGCUAAGGCGGUUCUCUAGUACGGUACUGACGCUGAGACGCGAAAGCGUGGGGAGCGAACAGG
rnacentral:rRNA from 1 species